rnacentral:rRNA from 1 species
GACGAACGCUGGCGGCGUGCUUAACACAUGCAAGUCGAACGGAAAGGCCCUGCUUUUGUGGGGUGCUCGAGUGGCGAACGGGUGAGUAACACGUGAGUAACCUGCCCUUGACUUUGGGAUAACUUCAGGAAACUGGGGCUAAUACCGGAUAGGAGCUCCUGCUGCAUGGUGGGGGUUGGAAAGUUUCGGCGGUUGGGGAUGGACUCGCGGCUUAUCAGCUUGUUGGUGGGGUAGUGGCUUACCAAGGCUUUGACGGGUAGCCGGCCUGAGAGGGUGGCCGGCCACAUUGGGACUGAGAUACGGCCCAGACUCCUACGGGAGGCAGCAGUGGGGAAUAUUGCACAAUGGGCGGAAGCCUGAUGCAGCAACGCCGCGUGCGGGAUGACGGCCUUCGGGUUGUAAACCGCUUCCGCCUGUGACGAAGCGUGAGUGACGGUAAUGGGUAAAGAAGCACCGGCUAACUACGUG